CUUGUACACACCGCCCGUCACACCAUGGGAGUGGGUUCUAUCAGAAGUAGGUAGGCUAACCGCAAGGGGGCCGCUUACCACGGUAGGAUUCAUGACUGGGGUG
rnacentral:rRNA from 1 species